GAUGAACGCUAGCGGCAGGCUUAAUACAUGCAAGUCGUGGGGCAGCAGGUUUGUAGCAAUACAGAUGCUGGCGACCGGCAAACGGGUGCGGAACACGUACAGAACCUUCCUCUGAGCGGGGAAUAGCCCAGAGAAAUUUGGAUUAAUACCCCAUAGUAUAAUGAAGUGGCAUCACUUUAUUAUUAAAGAUUUAUCACUCGAAGAUGGCUGUGCGGCUGAUUAGGUAGUUGGCGGGGUAAAGGCCCACCAAGCCUGCGGUCAGUGACUGGUGUGAGAGCACGACCAGUCACACGGGCACUGAGACACGGGCCCGACUCCUACGGGAGGCAGCAGUAAGGAAUAUUGGUCAAUGGAGGCAACUCUGAACCAGCCAUGCCGCGUGGAGGAUGAAGGUCCUCUGGAUUGUAAACUUCUUUAUAUGGGACGAAAAAGGCUUUUCUAAGUCGUCUGACGGUACCAUAUGAAUAAGCACCGGCUAACUCCGUGCCAGCAGCCG
rnacentral:rRNA from 1 species